GAAACAGUGUCUUGAAAGAAGAAGGAGGAGGAGGAGGAGGAGGAGAAGGAGAAGAAUAAUGAGGGCCUCGCAGAGAGCAGGAGACACGGUCCUAGCCCAGGGAGCCCGCACACUGUGUUUUGGGCUCCAGUGGGAGACCAACACUGACCAACAGCCUCCACACACUGGCACGGCAGCCGCUGAGCCAAUACCAGACCUUUGGACGGCUGCCGGUAGCGGUGUGGCUGCCGGAGACCCCGCUUUCUCGAGUGAUUGACAGUGCUUUUGUGUCGAAGGACUGAGUGAAACUAGACCUGAGGCAGCCAAAGUCGACCCGCAUUUUUCAGGUUUACAGGACGCAGACAUGGACGGGAGCUGCACCGCUGUCUAGAGAGUUUGGAGGAAGCCCGUGACGUUCCCAGUGUCACGACAGUGACACAGACAAGGGAGAGAACUGAAGUGAGUUGCCUACCCACAGGAAGAAGAGGAACAACGGAAGCAAACUGUAGUGCGUUCCUGAGAAGGGUCCUCCGACUUCCGGUAGGAUGCAGCAAAAUUCCUGCAGUCUCUGCCCUGGAUAGAGCCCAGCCACAGCCCCAUGGGAACAGAAGAAGGGCGCUCGGCAGCCUGGUUCUACCCCAGCUUUGUGGAGAAGAAGCCCUGUAGAAACUAUUGAAAUUGGAACACAACAAAUGGUGUGGAAUCCACUAAGGAAACUGGAAAACACCAGUCACCGCUCUGUUUGUUCUGCGCCUCUCUAACCACGGCACAUUUUUCAUCAGGAGAGAAAAUUAAAACAAAUAAAACCAUGAGCACUUUCUCCCAGGAGAGGCCCAGAGCUCAUUUCUC